AUAGCUCAGUAGUAGAGCACUUGCCUAGCAUGCACAAGGUCCUGGGUUCAAUCCCCAGU
rnacentral:tRNA from 1 species